GAAGUCCCUACUUCACGGGUGAUGAACACUCUCAGUAGAGCCUUCCUUCACCAGUUGCUGUCGUCGAUAGUGAAAGAAAGUCUAGAGGCGUCGAUUUGACAAUGUAGGGCGUGUGUCAGACUGCUUGACUUCGUGGAAAGACGGCGAAAGUUGGGGUGAUUUGUCGCUGUGGCGACCGUAGCGCCUUCCUUUGUCAAUUUUGUCCACGGAAAGGCCCCGGCCAGCAACCCAAUGUUGAUCACCCUACGUGCACAGAAUAGGAUGAGGAACAUGGCGCUUAGCGACCGGAAGUUUGUGGUUUUCAAGUCGUCGUUAUUGCCCGGUGAUUCAUCGUUUCCAAGGUAUUCACAUUUUUUGAAUUUGGUAGGCAUUAUAGCAUGCCGUCGUGGCGUUGUAAGGUGCUUGGUGGUGAUUUCAGGUACUUGUGGGAUAAUUUAUUGAGGCUUGUCAACGCGUUACGGUGUGGGAGCCCAACUUUUCAGCCUCCCCUGCAUUUUGUCCAAGGGUCAGAAGACUAGUUAGGGCUCUCUUAGUGCUGUUCAGAUGUAAAUCUUUAGUUUACCGCUAGUCUUUUAGAAUCCUCGUCCUCUGGUAGUGUAUAGAGUACUUAGUAAUAUCUGCAUUUCGCCUUGCAUGCCAAUUGUUGUAGGCGGGGCAUACACAAGAUAGUGCUAAGCUUUACCAGCUGCAUUCUGUGCCAUUGUUGCACGUGGGAACGCUGGCAAUUGCGAAUCGUGUGUACUCCGAGUCGUCUUCAGUGGCUGCUUGGUCUAGAAUUAGUGUACUGGUGUGGGCUAAUGAGACACUUAUUACACGUCCAAGUUAUUCAAACCAGGACCCACAGUUGCUGGAUGUUGUUGAUGCUGAUGACAAGUCGAGUAGUGAGACUGGCACAGACUGUGAGGAUGAGGAGGUGAAAAUUGAGGGAGAUUUCACUGGGCAGCCAAAUAGAUUACCCGAGGUGUUCCCAUCCUACAGUCAUUUAGCACACAGUGUGAGUGACCUUUAUCAUGAAGGAAGCUCUACUGAAGAAGACUAGAUGUUGAUGGUGAGAAACUGUCAUCCUGUCUGUGUACAAAAAUUUACAUUACUUGGGGGGUCAGUCAAGGUUAGGUAACUUCUAGGUACAUAAUGUAAGAUAUUGUGUGUAAUCAACUAAAAUUAAUCAAACAUAAUUAUGCCUCGGUGCUCAUGUGCAGUGGAGGUGCACAGUAGUCUGCUGGAGGGGGUGCACGAUGGAUUUAACAACAAAAUGACUCACACGUGUAAGAAGUGAUGUUUUCUUGGAUUUUGAUUCAUGAAUUCAAAAGAUAAAGCUUUAUUUUUUAGUUAUGGGUGAUUUCUCAUUGCACAUGUGCAGUAAACGUAUACUGUAAUCUGCCCCAUGUGUUUGCCCUACUGAACUUUGAAUGCCCAGUUGAUUUCGCACCGAGGCAUCAGCACCCCUGGUGCUAUUACUAUUAGUACAGGUAAUAGGUCUUGUGGACUGUUCAAAGACUAGACAGAUUUGGGCGGGUAAAUGAAGUCCCGGAUGUUGCAUGGCAACACAUCAGGUUGUGUGUUGACCUGACCGUCUCUUGUGUUUAUAUACUGUUUGACGUUGACACUGCUGGCAGCAGAUCCUUCCUGAAUUGGCUCAUGGUCACAGCACACAAUUGAAGCUGCACAAAGGGCAAUCACUGUGAAGAUUCCUAUGUCGACAGCAGAAUCAGUAGGACAUGCUUUACUCUGCGUAGAUCACUACGGGAGACUACCUGCUGGGGUGUGGUGCCUCCAAAGAAUAGAAACUUGUCCAUAACUUUCUUACGCAGGGCUGUGGAAGAAAAUAGAAAAUACUGGACUGUCGGCAAGGCACUGCCACUGUUAACAUACAAUUAGAAUUGUUGCUGUCUUCUACAAUUGAGAAUAUACAGACCUGUUGUCUUGUCUGCUGACUACAAGAUUA